GAAGUCCCAGACUGUUUUGUGUUUGCUGAAACACUCUUUGGAUCCCGAUUGUUAUACUCCACAUAACAAUCUUUGCCUACAGAAGGAAGAUACGGAUUUACUGUUUUUCUUCACGAAGAGAAGGAUAACUGCUGAGCCCCGCUCUCUCCCCACUAAAAGUCAGCUCCUGCUUUCCUCUGCUGCCGCUGUUGAAAGCCUUUAACAAACGGUGCCCGGCUAUGUCAGCAUCUGUGCCUGAGAGAACUCUGCCGGAUAAUCCAUGGACUGACGCAUUAAAUCGCUAUCAAGAGUGAUCUCAAGACAUCCAUGCAUCAAGGUUUUGCUGUCAUUGGUGUUGAUGAAACAGUCCGUGACAUCCCAGAUGCCACAGAGCCACCAGCAGUUGAGAUUCCAGACAUUGUACCAGAUCUCAGGGUGGAAUGUCAGGAAAUGUGCCUCUAUCUUGUAUGAAGAGAGUCUGCGUCUGCUGACACCAUGACCCAACUCCUCACAGAGCUGAAGGUGUGCACGGAUGCCUGUGCAGAGACCACUCAUGUACUGGAAAAUGAAGCCUAGUUUUCCACUUUGAAACAGUGUGUCACCACAAGAUUCAACACUUCCCAGUUCCCACUUCCAACACUUCCAGGGUCCAUUCCACGUGAAGCGGCUCUGAAGGAGGCAUCUGGGUCCUACACAAAUAGAUGACGCGUUUCUUAGGAGCGUACCACAAUGGCAAUUCUUGAAACGUAGUCACAGGCACUUCACUGAUGAACCCUGUAAUUGCAGCUCUGUUUCUAUUUCCAACCAUUUCCACAGCGGACUUUCCUGCCUUAAAUGGAAGAGUAUGAUGAGAGAAGGGGUUAUCAAGUUCAUGACCUGUCAGCUUAAUUUGUCACAGUGGUUGUGUGAAAAGGGUGUCCAUUAAUUAUCUUGUGUUGUAUGCUUCCUUGUCACCUGGCUCUGGAUAGGGCCCUCACCUCACCAUUCAUCCAGGCUUUUUGGUUGAGGAAUGAUUUAAUUGUCUUUGUGAUCACCACGUCAUCAACACAUUCGCUGAUGUAUGAUGUCACUGUUGAUGUAGUCCUCAAGGUUGGUGUGGUUCUCCUGGAUGGCGGCAUCUCUGAACAUGUGCCAGUCUGUGCACUCAAAACAGUCUGUAGAGCUGCUGUAGUUUCUUCUGUCCACACUUUAACUGUUUUUUUGAUGGUUUAAACCUUUAAUUAGCUAGGAGUAAGUGGGCAGGAGGAGCAGGGAAAUAUGGUCUGAUUAACCAAAAUUGGGGCGGGGAGGGCUUUGCAGCUUUGGUGUAAAUCAUGAGCCAGAAAUAGGCUGGGUAGCCUGCACUUAAUCCAAUCCCUACGCUUCCUUUUCCGACGUUGAUGAGUAUAUUUCUGUCAUAGUUAAUGCGCUACCAUAGGUAAUGCGUGUUUCAAUAAUAAAGGCGAUAAAAUAACAAAACAAAAAUAUGGGGAAGCUACUGGCCGCCCAACCCAGUCUCACGACAAUUUGUGAAAUAGUCACAAAAUCUAUAGAUUUGUGUCCAUUUUUUUCGUGACACUCAGCACGACUUUUAAAGUAAUAAGGACAAAUGUAGUAUAAAGAGUGAAAAGUCCGUGCAGGGAGGAGAUUGGGGUGGAUAGAUGAUUCAGAUACAAGACUUUCAUAUAGGAGACUGGGGUUUGAUUCCCGUGUGAAACCAAUAGUCAAUUGUUUUAAGAAAGUAGUCUAUUUAUUCUAAUCCAAACCAAGUAGUUUUGGUGCCUAAACCUAACCAAAUUAGUCAAUGUCGAUUGUUUUAAGGAAGUAUUCAUUCUAACCCAAACCAUGGUCUUUUUCUAAACCUAACCAAGUAGUUUUGGUGCUUAAACCUAACCUAAAUGUGACCGCCACCUGAAAUGUUUCUCAGCAAGCUUUAUUGUAAAAGUCUAAACGUUGCAUAUUUAUUAUUUUUAACUUGACUGAAAAAAAAAUGUGGUGCAGGCAUGAAAGAUAUUUCCAAUUGAAAUACAUUCAUUUGAAAGUCGUGCUGAGUGUCAUGAAAAAAAUCAAAAAAAUCCAUGUGCACAAAUCCUAUAGAUUCAAUUUUGUGACUAUUUCACAAACUGCCGUGAGAUUGUGUUGGGCCGCCGCAUCUGCAUGCGCCGCUGUCACCAUCUGAACAAACUUCUGAACAACAAUACAGAAUAUUUUAAAUCUAAUGUAUUGGUAGCAUAAGAAGAUUUUUGCCCAUACACAGAAAUAAAAACUGUGGAAAUCUGA